rnacentral:lncRNA from 1 species
CUCACCAACCUGCAUGGGGCAUUCAGUCUCAAGUCUUCUGGCAGGUCUCAGCUGUCCUUGAGACUCCCAUUUAGCCCCUGGGGUCAGGGCCUGACUGUGUGCCCCCUGCAUGAGGACUCAGGACUCCUGGACUGCUCAGAGGCUGCCACAUCCGUCCCAGCCCUGCCAUUCCCUCUCCUGGCUGGUCCUUGUCCUGCUUUCUGCCCUGUCCUCCUGGACUGUAUCGCACCUGUGCUUUUCCCUUUCUGCAGCCCAGCCCUGCUCUCCACCCGUCGCCAGACAGCAACACCCCAGCAGCUAGUGAUGAAGGAGGUGGGGUGGAUACUGACCUUCUUGCCACCCCACUGCCUAGCCCUGUCCCUGCUCAGGCUCAGGCCAUUGCCCCUUGGUCCCUACGGCUGGCUUGGACACCUGUGGUUAUGUGGGCAGCACAUGGCUUCCAAGGAAGCAAACCUGACCUCUGACCCCCACCUCUCAGGACUUGGAGGCCAUAAUGGCCCGUGACCAAGACCUUCAGGAGUUGAGGCUGGGACAGGUCAUCCCAGCAGCCCGGCCCCCACCCUCCUGGAAGCAGCGCCAGGAAGCCUUUGACAAUUACCUACGUUUGAUCUAUGGCCCUGGACUAUUGGUGGGUGUGAGGCCAUCCUCCAGCCUCUGCCCUGACCCUGGCAAAUCCUCUCACCCCAGACCUGACACUGCCACUGUUCCCACCUGUCUCAGGACAUGCAGUUCAAAAGGGAGCCCCAGCAGGGGAGCAUCAUGACCCUCACCACAGAAAGAGAGCUCCAAGACAAGACAUGUGUACCCUGUCCAGAACUGCCUCCUGCUUUGGGCAGGCUACCAUCAGCAGUGAGGCCCAGACAGUACCCAAAGCCCUUCUCCACCCCCAGACCCCAGGGGCCCCAGGCCAGCGUUUUGCCCCCCCCCCCAAGUGAUCUUGCCCAUUCCACCCACCACCAGAAGGUCCACAGCAAAGUGUCCAAGGUGGAGCCUGCCUCCCCUCCCACCCCCUUCCUGACAUCAUGGCUGAAUCCCCCUGACUCCUUGGCUGCCUCAGCUUCUUGCCUGCUCUUCCCUGAGCUGUGACUUGGGCCUCAGUCUGGAUCUGCAGAUGCAGUUGGAGCAGCUCAGAGAGGAGAUGACCAUGGCCUUGGACCCACCGUCCUCCCUCCCACAGCACAGGUGAGGUAAACUUAGCAGCUGGGAUGCCACCUACUCAAGAGCAGUACUUGAGGGGCUCUAGGGGCUGUGCUCAACUCUUGAGUCUCUGUCCCAUCUCCAGGUCCCACUUUGGCUGCAGAAACAGCCCAAGGAUCCUCUCUCAAAUCUCAAGGGCUUCUUUCCUGCCACUGUGCAGUCCCACAAGGUGAGGCUUUCUGGGUUCCCAGAGAGGCACCCCCCCUAGGGUUACUCUUCUUGUGUACCCUAUCUCCCCUUUGCUGCAAACCUCUUGUGUCCAAAUUGGAUCUAAGGGCCAUGGCUGCCUGUAGCUCAGAGGCCAGCUCCAGAGUCCCCCGCCCUGCCCGCCCCCGCCUCCUUUCCUGGAGUUAUGGUGUGGUGGUGUCUGUGGGCAGGAGCACCUUGUUGCCUACGAGGCCUGAGUCUGAGCCAGAGAUCCCCUGCCAUUGAAUCUCCGGCACACCCCUCUCCUCAGUGGGAACACUCUGUAGGUGGGUCACCAGUGGGCUUAUCCUGCAAGACCAGAGUCCCCACCUUUCAGGGAAGCAAAGUCAAGGGGAGCUAGCCCUUCAAGAUCCCAUACUUGGGCUGGGGUUGUGGCUCAGUGGCAGAGUGCUUGCCUAGCAUGGGUGAGGCACUGGGUUCGAUCCUCAGCACCACAUAAAAAACAAAAUGAAAAAUAAAGGUUAAAUUCUUUUUUUUUCUCAAAAAUUUGUUUUGUAUUUUUGUCAAUGGGCCUUAAUUCUAUUUAUUUAUAUGCAAUGCUGAGAUUUGAACCCAGGGCCUCACACAUGCCAGGCAAAUGCUCUACUACCGAGCCACAACUCCAACCCCAAAGUUAAAUUAUUUUUUUUUCUUUUUUUCUUGUAUGUGGUGCUGAGGAUCGAACUCAGUACCUCACAUGUGCAAGGCAAGUGCUCUGCCACUGAGCCACAGCCCCAGCUCUCAAGGUUAAAUUCUUAAAAAAAUAAAAUAAAAUCCCACCCUUGCUCCCAGUGGGUGCCCAGGCAGGCCCAGCCCCUUGCUUAGCACAUGCUGGCUCCCAUCUAGGCAUGCCAUUUUGUCCUUCCAGCUUUGUAGCAUAUUGACUCAAGUUCUCCACUGAACUCUCUCUAGUUACUUCCUUUCUGUCCUGCCCCCUACCCCCAGGCUUCCCUGUUUCAGGGUUUGAGACCAAGUGCCAAGAAGAACGUGUGGGGGUUGGGGCUUUCCAAAGGCCUUCUGUCCCCCAGAUUUCCCUCAUCUUCCAGUUAAUGUCCAUGGACCACUCCUCCUUCGGCACCCCAGACUUUCCCCUCACCUGUAUGUUAAGAGCAUGGGCUGCCUGUCCAGUCUGAUGGAGGCCUGGCAGGCAGAACUGGGCCCAUGUCUUGGGACUCUACAUGAUCAUGGGUGUGACCCAGGGUGGUAUCCCAGUUGGGGUGGCUUCAAGUUCUCAGCCACCCUGCUGUGCUCUGCCUCCAGUACUGCCCACGACCCAUUAGUUUCCCUGGCUGUGUGCCCAACUCCGUGGUGCUUCAGCAGAUGUGGCCGUCCACAGAGAUCAGCUAUCUUAGACCUCUGACCACGCUCACCUCCUAUACUGAGAACAGACUCAAGGCAAGAGGCAGAGCUGGGGGGCUCAGGGAGGGCUCCACUGUCCCCACCGUCUGCCAGAUGCCCCCUCUUGUGCCCUCUCCUCUAUAGCCAGAUGCAAGCCUGGAUGACCUAUGGCUACAGCGCCACAGGUGGUCCAAGUGGCACAGUAGGCUGAUGCAGUGGCUUCAUGGGAAGUCUGAGGAGGAAGAGGAAGAAGAGGAGGAGGAGGAGAAGGAACUGAAAAUAGACUGGAUCUCAGCUUCUCUGAGUUCACCCAGGAUGUAUUCUGACCAACAGUUAGAUUACUGGGAGGCAGAGGCUGGGGUAUGCAUCCCAGGCUGCCACAGGCAGGGUGGGCUCAGUGCCCAAAACCCAGAGAAGUGGGACUGAAGUUGCUGUCACUUCCCCUAGAGCGCCAUGGACUUGAUUGGCGAGUCCCAGAGCUUCCAUGAGGCCCCCAGGACCAAAAUCUACUUUGGCUCCCAGUACCACCAGGGGCAUUCACUCUGGGAAGAGCGCUAUGGGCAUCUGCCCAGGUUCCUGCACUCUUUCGUCAUCCAGAACUGGUUCAAAAAGCUGUUCCCCAUCUUCACCCUGGAGGUGUGGGGGGGCCUGGGAAGCUGGGAAACGUGGCCUGGGAUGGGGUGUGGGGAGAAAGCAGGAGCCUGCCUGAAUGUGAAACAGGGAGCAGGGUCUCAGCCUACCGUUCUGUAGGCCUACCCUGAGAUGGGCACAGUGGAGGGCCUGGCCUCCAUGUUGGUGGACCUGCUGGCAGAGGCCAUCUGGGAAGACCGUGUGCAUAUCCUAAAUGCACUGCUGAGACUGCUGCCUGAUGUGAGCAGUGACCUCCACAGUCGGCUGCAGAGCAACCUCUUGCACUUGCUCAACUUGGACAACCCCCCCAGCCUCCAGGUGGGUUCCUUGACACCCUCCACCCCCACCGUGUUUCUCCCACCAACCAUUGUCCCCACCUGUGCACAGGACCACAUUCAGAAGCAGUUUGUGAUGCUGGCACUGCAGCUGCUGCUGGCCUGCUCCCUGGAUUCCCG